UACGUAGGGGGGCAAGCGUUGUCCGGAAUCAUUGGGCGUAAAGCGCGUGUAGGCGGCCCGGUAAGUCCGCUGUGAAAGUCGGGGGGCUCAACCCUCGAAUGCCGGUGGAUACUGUCGGGCUAGAGUGCGGGAGAGGCGAGUGGAAUUCCUGGUGUAGCGGUGAAAUGCGCAGAUAUCAGGAAGAACACCCGUGGCGAAGGCGGCUCUCUGGGACGGUACUGACGCUGAGACGCGAAAGCGUGGGGAGCGAACAGG
rnacentral:rRNA from 1 species